GAUGAAGAACGUAGCGAAAUGCGAUACGUAAUGUGAAUUGCAGAUUUCAGUGAAUCAUCGAAUCUUUGAACGCACAUUGCGCCCGCUAGUAUUCUGGCGGGCAUGCCUGUUCGAGCGUCAUUUCAACCAUCAAGCCCUAGGCUUGCGUUGGAGCCCUGCGGCUGCCGCAGGCUCCCAAAUCCAGUGGCGGGCUCGUCGUCGUACCGAGUGCAGUAAACAUCCUCGCUCAGGGAACGUGACGGGUUCUUGCCGUGAAACCCCCCACAUAUCAAGGUUGACCCCGGAUCAGGUAGGAAUACCCGCUGAACUUAAGCAUAUCAAUAAGCGGAGGA
rnacentral:misc_RNA from 1 species